AGUUAGCCUAUUUCCCCAAGGCGUGGUUAGGGUUUCGUGAAAGCACCUAGGGUUUGAGCAGCGAUAAGAUAUAACUCGUCGUGGUUGUUGAUUAUCGUGGUGUGGAGGUGAUAUUUGCCUAAAAUGGCGUUGGAUUGAUUUCAUGCACCCUCAGGAUUUUGAUUUUGUACAUGUGUCUGAAUUUGUGUUUCUUGAAAAUGGCUCGAUGAUGAGUUCAAGUCUUAACCACACCGAAUAGAAGAUGACAAUUCUGAUGAAGGUUAGGGUUUGCUUACAAACAAACCGAGCUGUAACCUUCUUCUGUGGAAAAUCCUGGCCUUGACUGAGAGCCUUUCUAGGUUAAAUCUUUUGGUGGUUGUUUAUUUACUGUUUGAUUUAAGAUACUAGAUGCGAUGAUUAUUUUCUGUUAUGAUAAAUGUUCUAGUGAGUACAUCUAUUUGUGCCUGUGCUGAAGUUAAAAUACUUGUUUAUACAUGCUUUGGUAAGAAAAGUCAUUUUUACUCUGUAGUCGUUUGCCAAAUGAUAAUAGAAAUAAGAGAUCAAUAAGAUUUCUCUUUUGAAA